UAACGUGUAGCAUCAUUGGUGAUGCGUCUGACUUUUAAUCAGGAGGUCGCCGGUUCGAUCCCGGUCACGUCAA
rnacentral:tRNA from 1 species